GGUUAAGCGACUAAGCGUACACGGUGGAUGCCCUGGCAGUCAGAGGCGAUGAAGGGCGUGCUAAUCUGCGAUAAGCGCCGGUAAGGUGAUAUGAACCGUUAUAACCGGCGAUACCCGAAUGGGGAAACCCAGUGUGACUCGUCACACUAUCAUUAACUGAAUCCAUAGGUUAAUGAGGCGAACCGGGGGAACUGAAACAUCUAAGUACCCCGAGGAAAAGAAAUCAACCGAGAUUCCCCCAGUAGCGGCGAGCGAACGGGGAGGAGCCCAGAGCCUGAAUCAGCAUGUGUGUUAGUGGAAGCGUCUGGAAAGACGCGCGAUACAGGGUGACAGCCCCGUACACAAAAGCGUAUGUGCUGUGAGCUCGAUGAGUAGGGCGGGACACGUGGUAUCCUGUCUGAAUAUGGGGGGACCAUCCUCCAAGGCUAAAUACUCCUGACUGACCGAUAGUGAACCAGUACCGUGAGGGAAAGGCGAAAAGAACCCCGGCGAGGGGAGUGAAAAAGAACCUGAAACCGUGUACGUACAAGCAGUGGGAGCACAGGUUUACCUGUGUGACUGCGUACCUUUUGUAUAAUGGGUCAGCGACUUAUAUUCUGUAGCAAGGUUAACCGAAUAGGGGAGCCGGAGGGAAACCGAGUCUUAAUUGGGCGUUAAGUUGCAGGGUAUAGACCCGAAACCCGGUGAUCUAGCCAUGGGCAGGUUGAAGGUUGGGUAACACUAACUGGAGGACCGAACCGACUAAUGUUGAAAAAUUAGCGGAUGACCUGUGGCUGGGGGUGAAAGGCCAAUCAAACCGGGAGAUAGCUGGUUCUCCCCGAAAGCUAUUUAGGUAGCGCCUCGUGAAUUCAUCUCCGGGGGUAGAGCACUGUUUCGGCUAGGGGGUCAUCCCGACUUACCAACCCGAUGCAAACUGCGAAUACCGGAGAAUGUUAUCACGGGAGACACACGGCGGGUGCUAACGUCCGUCGUGAAGAGGGAAACAACCCAGACCGCCAGCUAAGGUCCCAAAGUCAUGGUUAAGUGGGAAACGAUGUGGGAAGGCCCAGACAGCCAGGAUGUUGGCUUAGAAGCAGCCAUCAUUUAAAGAAAGCGUAAUAGCUCACUGGUCGAGUCGGCCUGCGCGGAAGAUGUAACGGGGCUAAACCAUGCACCGAAGCUGCGGCAGCGACACUCAGGUGUUGUUGGGUAGGGGAGCGUUCUGUAAGCCUGCGAAGGUGGCCUGUGAGGGUUGCUGGAGGUAUCAGAAGUGCGAAUGCUGACAUAAGUAACGAUAAAGCGGGUGAAAAGCCCG
rnacentral:rRNA from 1 species